AGCCUCAGCAACUUAGUGAGACCAUGCUUCAAGAUAAAAAAUAUAAAAAGGGCUGGGGAUGUGCUCAGUGGUUAAGUGCCCCUGGGUUCAAUCUGUAGUACUAAAAGAAAGGAAAAAGAAAAUUUACCCCUUUGGAACCAUAUCACUCAAUAUAAAGGAGUCCAGUUACUUGCUCUUCUAGUUCCCACUUUGAUUUCUUACCUGCUGGAUGAAAAUACUUUUGCCUCAGCAAGUUCAGUUUCUAAAUAUCUUCAUGAGUUUGUACUCCAGAACUUAAUGCAUAUUGGAUCUCAGUAUCCACAUGCUUUCAAGACGGUAAUGAGGGCUGCUCCUGAGUUGAAAGUGCGGCUAGAAACUGCUGAUGAAGCGAGCCAAGCCAGCAAGGCUAGAGCUGCUGUGAGGCAGCCAGCUCCUACCGGACAUUCUGCACUGAAAAUCAAGCUAAAAAUAAGCUUUUUUAAUGUGUUCCUCCACUCAUUUUUAUAUGUAUUUCACCGAAUUAGUGGUAGCCACUGUACCAUUCCAGGCUAUGGAUUCUAUAUUAUUUGUAUAUUGGUAUUAUAAUGCUUCCAAGAAGGUUAAGAAAGUCUUGUUCAUACCACUAUUGAUUUUAAGUGAUUUUUAAAAAUUAUGUGGUGAGUAUGUUUUCAUUUUUCUGCUAAUAAUGUUUCUCUUUUAUUAAUUUUUCAUUGUUUUGUUUUUGGUUUUUGUGGUGCUGGGGAUUGAACCCUGCACCUUGCACAUGCUAAGCAUACACCGUAAUACUGAGCUAUACCCCCAAGCCCUAAUUUAUUUUUUAAACACUGAACCAUAGUCUUUUACAUGCUGAAUACACAAUUGUAUCGUGUACUGGGACAGAAUGUGGACAUUAUCAGGGGAAAAAAUAGGUCAAAAUUUGGCAUUUGUUAUGAAAAAUUCCAUUGCAAAAUAAGUAAAUUUUACAUUUUCAAGAAACCAAAAUAAUAUAAAGUCUCUUUCAUGGUGUACCUACUAUGAAUAAAAUCAAAUUUUUUAAACAUUGCUCAAAAUAUUAUCUUCUGAUAUAUCUGUUCACUUUAAUAUUAAAUUACUGAAUUGUGUUUGUGUAUAUUUUAGUUGUUAAUUUAAUUAAAGUUCUCAUCUAAAGGUCCAUUAAAAUGUUUCUAAUGUAGUAUAAUUUUUCUACCUUUUUUAUGUUUUGUAAUUACAGAGACUCAGGUUCUGACUGUGAUGGUUAGUUUCAUGCAUCAAAUAUUUAUUGAAUGCCUACUGUGUAUAAGGCAUCAAGAUAAGUGCUUCAGGGCAUACAAAAAUAAGGUAGUCAUAAUUAUAGUUAUGAUAGUCUCUUAUGCGAUGGGAAUUUUUCCUUGCAAAAAUAGAUAAUUGAUUAAAUGAAUGUAUACCACAGCAUUUAGCAGAUUUUAAACACCAAAUUUUAUCAGAAAAUGUAACAUAGACUAUAUCAAAAGCAAGUGACUUUUCUGAAUAUUUCAAGCUAUAUAUUUAUUUAUCACUUGCUACUUGCCAUUUAUUCUCAUCAUACCUACACCAUUUGGCAGCUAGCUUAUAGAUCCUUGCAUUCUUCCUGGCUCAGUUUUUUAAAUACCUCAGAAAGUCACUUUCUCUCACCUGUUUUCUCACUGACUUUUAUUUCUACAGAGUUGUUUUUCAUUUCUGACGUGUUUCCAAAGUUAUUCUUCUUGUUUUUGUUUUUGUUUUUAAUUUUGAUAAAAGUCUAUAAAAUGACUUCACAUAUUAUACAAUUUAUCUAUUUAAAGUGUACCAUUCAGUUGUUUUUAUUAUAAUCACAGGGUAGUACAACUCUCACUAUAGUCAAUUUUGAACAUCUUAAUUACUCCCAAAAGAAACUCCAUAUUCUUUACCUGUCAUCUCACAAUUUUCCAUUUCCCAUCAGCCUUAGGCAACUGAUAAUCUACUUUCUGUCUCUAUAAAUUUGCUACAGUGGUAUUUCAUAUAAAUUAAAUCAUAUAAUAUGUGGUC